UUUACUAUUAGGGGAGUUGGUGCAAGAUUGAUAAUACUUGCAUGACUAAGUUAAAAAUAGAGGUAUAGAUGGAGGUACUAUACUGCAAUUCAUAUUGUCACAUGUCUAGAACUAUUAAUUCAUAUGAUUUAGUAUAGAUUCACAUGAUUUACUAUUAGGGGAGAUGGUGCAAGUUUGAUAAUACUUGCAGGACUAAAUUAAAAAUGAAGGAAAAGAGGAAGGUAUUAUACUGUAAUAUUUCGAUCCCCAAAACGUGCAAUUAUCGAAACUAUAUUUUUCUAUAAAUAAAAGCUCAUUCUUCCUUCAUUUCUCACCAAUUCACUAAAGCUAUAGAGCAAUUAUUAUAGAGAGAAAUUAUAGAGAGAAAGAAGAAGAGAAGUCUGCUACCUCACUAUUCCAGUAUCCAGUCUUCUUUUGGGGUAAGGGGUAUUAUUUCUUUCGUAUUCAUGAAGAGAGCUAAUUUUAUUCCAUUCCUUAUUAUUCUGUUGGAAUAACCUGUAUACGCGGACUACCGUAUACAUGGUGAAAUUCUUAUGUUAUUCUAUUCUUUAUUAUUAUGUUGGAAUAACCUGUCUAUACAAAGUACCGCAUACAGGGUGAAAUUCUUCUGUUAUUCUAUUCUUUAUUAUUCUGUUGGAACAACCUGUCUGUGCGGUCUAUCGCAUGCCUGGUGAAUUCUUCUGUUAUUCCAUUUUUUAUUAUUUUGUUGGAAUAUCCUUUCUGUGCGGAUUACACAUGACCUGAUUCCGUUCUUUAUUAUUCUGUUGGAAUAUCCUGUGUGUGCGGAUUAUGCAUGACCCGGUUCCAUUCUUUAUUAUUCUAUUGGAAUAACCUGUCUAUGUGGAUUACCGCAUGCAUGGUGAAUGAUCCUUCGUAUUCAUUCUUUAUUAAAUUAUGGAAAUGAUCUGUCUACGUGGAUUACCGCAUAGCGGGUGAAAAUCCAUUUGCAGUUUCGUAUAUUCUAUUAUACUUGUAUGAGAUAUCAUUUCUUUUGUACUCGUCAUGAAAUAUCAUUUUCUUUGGUAUUUUUUCUUUUACGAGUUACUAUUCAUGGGUUACUAUUUACCCAGUUACUAUUCACUCUGGUAUUAUUCACUCGGGUAUUCGGGGCACUUUUUGUGCUGGAGUACUAUUCACGAGUUACUAUUCACAAGUUACUAUUCAUGAGUUACUAUUCACCCAAUUACUAUUCACUCUAGUAUCAUUCACUCAGGUAUUCGGGACAUUUUUCGUGUUGGGAGACUAUUCACGGGGUACUAUUCUCGAAGUACUAUUCACGGUAUUCACCCAAAAAAUAUAUUUCUUUUCUGUCCAAAUUAUUUUUGGUACAUAAAUAUUAUUCUUGAAUU
rnacentral:lncRNA from 1 species